GACGAACGCUGGCGGCGUGCUUAACACAUGCAAGUCGAACGGACAGGCCCUGCUUUUGUGGGUUGCUCGAGUGGCGAACGGGUGUGUAACACGUGAGUAACCUGCCCUUGACUUUGGGAUAACUUCAGGAAACUGGGGCUAAUACCGGAUAGGAGCUCCUGCUGCAUGGUGUGGGUUGGAAAGUUUCGGCGGUUGUGGAUGGACUCGCGGCUUAUCAGCUUGUUGGUGGGGUAGUGGCUUACCAAGGCUUUGACGGGUAGCCGGCCUGAGAGGGUGACCGGCCACAUUGGGACUGAGAUACGGCCCAGACUCCUACGGGAGGCAGCAGUGGGGAAUAUUGCACAAUGGGCGGAAGCCUGAUGCAGCAACGCCGCGUGCGGGAUGACGGCCUUCGGGUUGUAAACCGAUUUCGCCUGUGACGAAGCGUGAGUGACGGUAAUGGGUAAAGAAGCACCGGCUAACUACGUG
rnacentral:rRNA from 1 species